rnacentral:lncRNA from 1 species
UUUUUUUUUUUCCUUUUCCUUUUAAUUUUUGAACCAAGAAGAAAAACAAAACUACAAUCUUACUCUUUUGACAUGGAAAUUUCCCCCUGUAGGAGUUACAUUGGAGAGAUUAACAGAGGGUCUUUCUCCCAGGCAUUGUGCCUUGUCACUUGUUGGUGAACCUAUUAUGUAUCCAGAGAUUAAUACACUAGUGGAUGAGCUGCAUCGUAGACGGAUUUCUACUUUUCUAGUCACAAAUGCUCAGUUUCCUGAAAAGAUUAGAAUGCUGAAACCUAUUACACAGGUUUGUAUGCAACUGUUGUAUUGCUCUCUAUUCUUUCAUCACAAUAUGCUUGCACUUUAAAGUGGCAUUUGUUUUUACUCUUUUCUUUUUCUUAAAAUCAGUUAUAUGUUAGUGUGGAUGCUGCAACUAAAGAGAGUUUGAAGGCAAUUGACAGACCACUUUUUGGAGAUUUUUGGGAGCGAUUCAUUGUAAGUAUUUAAUUUGUUCUUUAAGUUUGCUAGCCUUUACUUCCCUCUUUGCAAAAGUACCUAGAGAGAUACAAAUAGAUGUUAAUUUGUGAUGCACAGAUCGUUCAUGUCAUUUUUUCUUAUUCUAAAAGUCCAAAAAUCCAUUGAUGCUGCUGCCUAAGCUCCCUCCUCCUAUCAUGGAAUUUUAGGUUGGGUUGUUUGAGCGUGGGAUGGCCAUUAAUUUAUGCAAAUGCGCAUUGGUUUGCCAAUCCUUUUCCUGUUUCAAUUUGUUUUCUCCCGUCAGUGUAAAGUCGAAAAGGCCCAUAUACUUUUCCCCAUCGAAUAAGUAUUUGUAUUUUUCUUUUCCGACUGAUGAGAUCCCAAAUGAUAAGACCUUAGUUUUCUUUAUCCCCUGAAAUAUUGAAUAUUUAGGUACAUAAGAUUAGGACUAAGUUAGCUGGUCCUGAAUACUUCUUAUCUUUCGAAGCCUAUUAUUAACUCAGUUUCUUCUGAUAUAAUUUAGUAUUUCUAGUCUUACAUGCUUGAAUCUUUCUGCCAGGAUUCCCUGAAAGCUCUCAAGGAAAAACAGCAGCGAACUGUUUAUCGCUUAACUUUGGUGAAAGGGUGGAAUACAGAAGAAAUUGAGGCUUAUUAUAACAUCUUUAGCAUUGGUAACCCGGAUUUUGUUGAAAUCAAAGGAGUUACAUAUUGUGGAUCGUAAGUUCUCCUUUAUUUGUCUUGUAAGUAGUCUAAUUAUUUCCAAUGCUCUAGUUCUCUAAUUAGAGUGAUCUAUUCACAGAUCCGCUACCUCAAAGUUGACGAUGGAGAAUGUGCCCUGGCAUGCUGAUGUUAAAGCUUUUUCAGAGGCCUUGGCUUUGAGAAGUAACGGCGAGUAUGAGGUUGCUUGUGAGCAUGUCCACUCAUGUUGUGUCCUCCUGGCAAAAACUAAAAAGUUCAAGGUCAAUGGGCAGUGGUUCACAUGGAUCGACUAUGAAAAGUUUCAUGAUCUGGUAUGUGUCUCCAACGAUUAUAUACUCAUAGAUUAACUUUUUGGCUGAUAGUAUUUGAUUCUUCAUUCUUCCUUAUGCAGGUGGCUUCUGGAAAACCAUUUGACAGUAAUGAUUAUAUGGCUGCCACACCUUCAUGGGCUGUUUAUGGGGCAGUGGAAGGUGGAUUUGAUCCCUAUCAAUCUCGAUAUAGGAAGGAGCGACAUCACAGAUCAAACCAAUGACUGACCAGGUUAGACAUGGAGCUUUAGGAAUCAUUUUGUUUGCAGUCUUAUGUGAAACAGUUUUGCACUACAUAACUAUAGAUAUAGUCAUGAGUUUGUAUUCUAGUUAUCCCCUGCUUAUCUAUCGGAAGAAGAUUGCUCUGAUAGUUUUGAAUUCAUUGCUUGAUUAAAGAGAGAAGUUCCAUCUAGUGUAGAGCUCAUUAUGUAUUCCUGUUUAAGCAAAUUUCAUCAUGUGGUAGUAACAAGUCUUUAACAAGAAGACAGUUCACCUUUGUAACAGCAAGACGAACCCUAUUUGAAUCAAUUAGACUUGAGACAUGUGGAUCGAAUUCCUGUUCAAGAUAGUUGUGUUUUAAGGAGCUGAGAUUGAUCCCUAUUCAAUAGUAGCCUAAAGAGAAACUCUGUAUGCUGUCUUUAAUCAUGUACUAGUCUGCUAUGCAACUUUUAGUGUUGAGGUACUUUUGAAAUUAUCUGCCAGGUCGUUCUAUAUAUGGAUAUUGGUGUCUUCUGCUGGAACCUUUCAUUUCGUAGGCACCUUUACACAUCAGCUACUGGGUUCUGGCAUUAUUUUUCUUUCUAUCACUCUAUUCGUGUUUAUUAAAUGACUCGUGAUUACUGCUAGGCAAAAGAAAUCAUGUCAUAACAGAUAUGUCCUAUUCCAACCCUUAGUCUAUCCAAUCAGUGAGUUUAUUUCAGGAGCCCACAGUUUUCUUCUUGAUGGUCUGAACUCAGCCAUGGUUGUCAAUUUUAGAUAGCCUUUUGUUGAAAACUUUUAAAAGAGAACAGGUGUAUUGAGAUAUUAGAUCAUGCUGCUUGAAACUCAGUUCUGUGCUGGAACAUGAACAGGGGUUAGAGGUUGUUGCAGCCUAAAACCCAAUCCAGUUCGAGCAUACAUGUCCAUUAAGGAAAGCCCCAUAUUCAGGUAUUAUCGUGUCUGCCAUAAACAUAAGCAAGCCGGAGAUGAUUGAAUUCAUGUUUCUAUGUUUGGUGCUGAAACAUGGAGUGUGUAGGAAUGGUCUGUUCUCCCCGUAGGGCUCUGCAAGAGCCCUCAAGUCCAUAGUUGUACUUGUUCUCCUAUUUGGAAGCUUCUUCUUCCAUGUCUAUGAUGGAAAAUUGUUUGUAUGUUUUGGAUUAUUUGGUGCCUAACGAGUAAUGGUGGAAGCUCUAUCCUGUAAAAUUACAAGACAGAGAAGAAAGAGGCCCACAGUUAGAGUGACCCAUUUUGCGCGCAGUGAUUUGUUUUGUUUAGGCUGUGGAAAGUGUCAUACAACCCAUUCCGCAUCGCCCUUCAAUCAAAAAGUACAGUAGUCGACACAGGUUUGAGAUAUAUAUAUAUAUAUAUAUAUAUAUAUAUUGAUAUUCACGUAGAGGUCAGGUGGACACAACCAAGUUGACAAGUGGUAGCAGGAACUCUAGACCCCACCAAAACCCAAAAGUAUAACCAAACCCUACGUAAGGCCGGCCUCUUCAUCAUGCCAUUAGUCAUCGUACACGAACCUGAUUUCGGUGAAAUUUCGGUGAAAAGGUCGUAGCCAAUAAACAUGAGAUCCGUGUUUAUUUUAAAAAUUUAACUGCAAUUUAAGAACAUAACAUAGAGAUUUUAAGUUUUGACAUGUUUGUUUAUAAUUAUUGUUGACACUUGUUUAUUUCUCAUUGAUGUUUUGUUACCCAUAAGUGACAAUAGCUGGUCACCUAAGUUAUUUCCAUCGUACACCUUUUUCUUCUCAAACCCUAAUCAUAUUGAUACUUGAUGAAUUCUUGGCAUCCAUAACAUGCUUCGAAUUCGUGACAAAAAUCCAUACUAUCUAGCCAAAUCUUGCAUCAACGUACAUGUACAAUGUCAGAGUAUCUCCUCUAAUUUUUACAUCCUACGAACCCAUUUUGACUUCGACCGCUCGACGUGCCAAAAAAAGGUACCUAAUUUGUCACAUCCUACUAUAAAAAUGAGCAGAACCUGAAAUGAGGCUAGUCAAUGGAUGCAUUUUGCAGAGGCAAUGUGCAUUUGGGUAUAUGUAGGAUGCACAAAAUGACCAAGUAGAGCUUAAAACUUACUCAUGUUUUGUUAUUGUGACUAGAGUGCUAAACUAUAUAACUCGAUGUGUGGAACGUGAUAGUCACGUGCCAGCGCAGCGACCUGGCACUUUGGGCAUCAGAACCCCAGUGCCAGAGACUCUGCCAGCCAACUCAUAAUCAGCUUCGGUUUUCCCCACCUCCAGAUUGCAAUCUUUUCUCUGCUCUCACACACCUCUUAUCAAUGUUCCUUCCUUCACCUCGUUCAGCAUAGAAACUCAGACACAUACACAAACACAAGGUUCUUAUGCUCCAAUCCUCUAUACAAUGACAAAGGGAUGCAUAGAUACAUAUAUCAAAAUCGCAAGAACUAAUUCCUGAGGGAAACUAAAUUUAUAUCUCCAAUGAACUCAACACACCUCAAGGAUAAUGCAAUUGCCAAAGCCAAGUUCAUUCGUAUUUUUAAAGAAAAAAAAAGGAUGAUUGAUGAAAUAGUUAACCAUUAGCUGCUACAAAUUAAGGAACGAAAAUGAGCAUCUUUGAGAUGGGGAUCAUCCUUUCCUUUGAUUCGUUCAUUGAUAAUCGCAAGAUUGAUGCAACUUAGAAUAAGAAAGACAAGAGGAAGAUUACCGUACAGAAGUUACUAAUAUUAGCAACUACUCUUUCUCGGUUUGCUCUUCCUCCUAGCUCUACUUCUCGAAGGCUCCCUCCUUUCCUCACUCUCUUUGGGUUUUGCCGAUGAUGGCCCUUCUUCUUUAACCUUCUGUUGCUCCUCUUCUUCCUGUUCUUGCUUAUCUUCUUCCUCUUUCUCACUGGCUUUGGCUUUUUUGGAUUGACUAGCGCCUUCAACUUGUUGAGCUGCUGCAGCAGCAGCUUCUUGUUCUAUUUUUGUUGAUGAUUGCUCUUCAAUGAUCUUUCGAGGCCUUCCUCGCUUUCUUGGGGUCUGAGGCUGAGGUUGAGGCUGUUGCUGGGCUUCGUCUCCAGUUGAUGAAGCUUCUGCUAUUGCUACUGAAAGCUCCUUCGUUUUCUGAGGUUUCUUCUUCCCCAUAUCUAUCUUCCCUAAUCAAAUACUAAAUAAAGCUUCUCCCUUUUGAUUGAUUACACUUUCAAAGACACAAUUGUAAAAUCUGAGAAUAAGAAAGAAUCUAAACUCUCACCGCCUAAAAAUCAAAUCUUAAUUGAUCCCAGAAAGACCAUUUAUUUUCCUCUCUGUGUUUUUCUCUAUCAAGUCUCAAUAAGCAAAUGGAGAGUCAUAUCUUUGACCAAAACCUCAAGAUUCUGGAAAUCCCAUUAAAAACCAUCUCUCUUUUCUCUCUCUCUCUUCAGUCAUAUCCAGGACCCCAAAUACCCAAUAAAAAUCCAGGCUCCUUUUAGUCCCCUAUGGCAUAAAAUAUACAAAUAUUCUUAAAAGCUCAAAAAGGCACUAGAAAAUAAAAUUUCCAUUUUGCUUCUGCUCCUCCCUUAAUAAAGAAAAACCAGGUAGAAAAGACAAAGGCAUGGAAAUGAGGUCGAAAGACUCAUAGAGUCAUAGGUCCAAACCUAGACGGUGUGGGAUGACCAACAAAGCCAAAGUUUAAUUUCCUGUAUUAUUCUUAUUAUUAUUGUUAUAAUUGUGGGUAAGAAAUUAAGCAUUGUGGGUUAGCUAGAAUAUUUCUGAGAAAAAAACCAAAAAGAAAAUUAAGAAAAGAAUAGAUAGGUACUGUAGUACUGUACCAUUCAGAAUCACUCAUCUCAUCAGUGUUUCAGACUGACCACCUCUGUCGCUUCCCCGGGCUUCGCGCCCUUUGAAGAGCUUUGAUUCCCACCUUCGCACCUCUACCACCCCCCCCACCUACUCCUCCAUUCACACCCACUCACCUUCAUCUUCAUUCAUCAAUCAGAUGAAGCAUGUUGCACUUGCACCAAUUAUUAUUCCCUUGUUUUUUUUUUGUUACACCAAUUAUUAUUCCCUUUCAUUCUUGUAUAAUCAUUCCACCUCUCUUUUUACACCAAUAAUUUUCUGGGUGAAAACUUACUUCUGCUUUGCAUGGUUGCGACUUACAAGUUAAAAAUUAGGUAAGUUGUAACAGAGAGUUUCUUAUUUUCCUAUAGCAACAAGGACGAGUUCUUUUUAGGUAAGUACCGUAUAUAAACUUCCUUUCCUUCUGAUUUUAGGAGUAACAUCUUAGGUGAGCUAGUGAGUUUAGGAAGACUUGUUUUUAGGUAAGUACCAUAUAUCUACUUUCUUCUUUCGUUUGAUUUCAAGUCUAUAUAAAGUUCACUAAUUAACAUGGAUAAUUGUUGCAUUAUAUCUGAAUACGAAACCAAAGCUUGUUUAGUCCCUUGUUGUGAUGGCUCGUGGUGCUCCAGUUAGCAUGAUUCUCAUAAUCUUGUUUGCUUUCAUCUCUGUUUCUCAUGCCGGAAAUAUCAUAACGGUGGAUCAGUCCGGUCACGGUGAUUUCUACAAAAUACAAGACGCUAUCAAUUCUAUUCCGGCAAACAAUAAGGAGGCUGUGACAAUUUCGAUCAAUCCUGGAAAAUACAAGGAGACUAUCACCGUACCUCCAGACAAGCCAUUCAUAACAUUAAGAGGUAGCACCACAAAACCAAGCGACGUGAUAAUUACGUGGGAUCAAAGUGGCGACAUUGUUACUGUUGCGACAUUUCAUGUUUUGGCUUCCGACUUCAUAGCUCGCGACGUAACGUUUCAAAACACAUUCGGGCAUGGUCAUCAAGCAGUUGCGCUAAGGGUCUCCGGCGAUAGAGUAUCGUUUUACGACUGCUCGAUUAUCGGUUACCAAGAUACGCUAUUCGACGAAACCGGCAGACAUUACUACGAAAAUUGUUACAUUGAAGGAGUCGUUGAUUUCAUAUUCGGAAGCGCCACCUCUUUCUUUCACAGUUGUCACAUACAUUCGGCAAGAGCAGGAUUUAUUACGGCGCAGCGAAGGGAAACGCCGACUGAUAAUGGAGGGUUCGUGUUCUUUAAGGGUUCGAUUACGGGCGAAGGUGGAAAAACUUAUUUAGGAAGACCAUGGGUGGGUUCUUAUGCUAGGGUCAUCUUCGCCUACACUAACAUGGAGAAUGUGAUAGAACCAGCAGGUUGGUCUGAUGAUGGAAUCGGAGAAAAAGAAUUGAAGGCGAAGUCGUUUUGUGGGCAGUUCAAAUGCGACGGACCAGGAGCAACAACGUCCGAGAGGGUUCAAUGGGCGCGAGAGUUCAGUGAGGAAGAAAUUUCAAAGUUUGUGACGACAGAUUUUAUCAAUGGAAAAGAUUGGUUAAAGUCUAGUACUCCGGUAACAACUCCACCUCCGCCGUCUGCACCACCUCCCAUGAAGCCAUCUUCGCCACCACCGGCACCGGUGGUGAUUCCAUCGUCUCCUCCUCCGGCACCAGAGAUGAAGCCAUCUUCACCACCACGUCUCAUGAAGCCAUCUUCGCCCCCGCCGCCACCGGUGGUGAUUCCCUCCUCGCCGCCACCAGCACCGGUGACACAGCUGUCGUCGUCACCACCACCGCCAUUACCAUUGAGGGUAAUCAUCACUCCGUUUUCGCCUCCAUCAACAUCGGUGAAUAGUGGAGGGAAAGAAGGUGAACCUAUCAUCAUGCUUUACUACUCAGGGGCUUCUUCACACUCUAAGCAUCGUUUCAGCACCGGUGGGAUACUGGCUCUAGCAGCAGGUUUGGUAGCCGCAGCAGGUUUGGGGGUAUGGCUCUACAGAAGGCGCAGAACAUUGAACGAGAAGCUGAACCGCUCCUGCUUCUGCUAGGAAACCGAAGACAGAUGGACUCAACUAUUGGAUUAAUGAGCUCAAUGGUGUCCAUAGUAUUUGCCUUGCUUUCUUGAGGAUCCAAGGCAUUGCACAAAGAAACACCUGAACUGGGCUUUCUUGGGCUCUCUUUGAAGAUUUGAGCCUCUUACUUCCCAAGCCCAAGCGCCUUGGAUCGGAGACAUGAAGAAUAUCAAUCAUUUUAUGGCGGGUGAAUCUUGAAACAUAGCAAGACGCUGAGACUCCAAGCUUCAACAUUUGAAUAUACCUUGUUGUGUCCAUUUUUAACUUUACUGAAUUGUAUCAUAUUUUCUUCGCAUAAGAACAGAAUAUACAUGUUUCAAUCAGUUUGAUCAAUUAUAAAUGAACAGAUAUACAUUGAAUCACGUUGCUUUAACCAGAAGCGAAGCCAAUUUUUUUAUUUUUUUUCUUCCUAAUUUUAUGAGUUGUUCUACCUUGAAUUACACGAAGAAGGAAAUAAUAAAGGGGUUAAAGUUGUUAAUUGGUCACUUAAAGGUUCGCCCAUCACUUUCUUUGUUUUAAGAGACAGCAGCCUCGUGAGUGCAAAUUCUCAUGCCUCCCAAUCGGAUAAGAUUGUAGGUAAAAGUCAGAGGAGACCCAUUUUGCUUCAAGAUCGCCACCCCUCCUCCUUCUUCUUCCUUCCCCUAUAAAACCCAACACUCCAUUUUGCACUGUUUCUUUGGAGACCUUUCAGAACAUCUCCACCUCAACAAGAGACCCGAAAAGGAAAUAUUCUUAUUGAUUUUUAGAAAGAAAGUUUUUUGGAACACUUGGGUGUCAUUCUAUUAUUGCUGUCCACCAGUUCUGGGCUGAGGAAUAUAAAGCCUCAACCUUUGGUGCUGGAAAGCGAUUUGGGAAGUCUCUCUCUUGGGUUUAUAGAUUUGCUUAACUCAAGGUUGUGGAUGGAAUUGGACCAUUAGUCGGUAAGUGUGUUUUUGCUAGCAAAAUUCAGGACCUUUAUUUGUUAGUGGCUCUGUAUCCGUUGGAUUUUUGUGUGACGUGUGUUUGUUUCCUUUCUCAGUUCUAUAUAUAUAAAAAAUUGAGUUACAGACUGGAGUCAAUUUGAGUUUCAGUUCUUUUGCUUUCCAUUGAAGGAAUUGAAGUUGGAGGUUUCAAUUAUUGCUGGUCGGUCUCCUAUGUUUUAUUUUUAAAGAUUGAUUCUUCUCUGAUGAUUUUGAAGUUUGAACUUUUUGUUUGAUGUUUGAUUCUUGUUGGAUUCAGCUGCUAUAUGUUUCAUGUAAUGCAUUUAUUUUGGGUUUUUAUUUUAUUUUGAUGGAGCAUAUUCAGGUUUUUCAAUUACAUCCUAUUUAUAAGCCUGUAUAGUUGGAUUGAAUACCCUUUCAGUUGUGAGAUUGGCAUAGUCUUUAUCCUGAUUCUAAGGUUUUCUGUCCUAAAAUUAGGAUCUCACUUCCUUUUACCUGGCAAGGGAACCUCUACUUUGCUAUGUUUCUGGUUCAAUGGAUUGGUGUUUGACCAUCUGGCUUUCUGCGUUUUCUUGUGUUUAUCUGAACAGCAAAUGUUCUGUAUUUGUUUCCAGGUUUCAUAUGCCAGUCUGAGUUCAGCUUCUGUGAAUCCCACUACAAUGACAUCACCGUUUUAAUCAAGGGUUUUCAGUGAGAGGAUCAUAGCUCCUCGGUCAUGGAUGUUCCAUAUGACACAACACCAAGCAAUGGUGAAGUAGCCAAUAACGGCCUUCAGAUAAUUAGAUACUCUCCUUAUCAGUACUACCAGCACAAUAGUAAAUUAUCAUCAUCCUGGUUUGAUCUGAGAGUCUUCUAUGUAAGGAUCAGCAACUUUAAGGUGGAUGAAUCUACCCCCAAGUUUCUGACCCUCAACCAUAUUCCUCUAUGCCCGGAUACCCUUUUGGAAGUAAAUGGUGCGAGAACUAGCAUGUACUCUGAUGGUGUAUCUUCACAUCUUAGAAGAGAUCGGGUGGACAAGAAAUCCGAAGAAGUCACAUUUGUGAAUACAGACAGCAUAAGGUUCACAGGGAGUGUGAAAUUUGAGGUGUUUGAUAAAGAUGAUCUCAUUCUCUCCGGGGUGUUAGAUAUGUCUAAUAGCAAUGGUUAUGUUGGGGAAUCAAAGAACAAUGCCAAGCGAUGGAGCAUGAAUUGUGAAUCAGAGAUCACUUCUGGCACUGGAUUCUUCAAAGGAAAACAACUUAAUGGCACUGAACCUGCACCGAGCAUUGAGGUUUACGUUGCUGGCUCCUUCUCUGGAACACCAAUCAUCUUAACCAAGACCCUGCAGAUUGCUUUCCGAAAGAAGCACAAUAGGAAGAGCACUUUGGAUGCAAUUCCGGAGUAUGAAACAACUGAAAUGCCAAAAGAUGAGUCCGCUGAACUUGAUAUGGAGGUACAUAAACUUUUUUAUUGAAACUAAAUCUUAUGAUGGGUUGUUACUUGUGUUCUUCUGGUAUCUUUAUGCAUUGUUCUAUCUAACAUAUCUAUGAGGAAUUCUUCAAAGUUUAGUCCUACAAUGCUUCUAGUCAUUGAUCAAUGGCGUUUGUGAACAUUAUCUGAUCCAAAACUUUAGUAAUAUGAGUAUCAGUCUUUGUUAUGCUGCCUGUGCUUCUUUCUUAGGAUCUUGUUCUCUUAUGUAAAUCACUUAUUAUUAAACAAGAACUUGCUUAUAACAUCUUAUCCUAGUUGUGUCAUGGCACAUGAGAAUGGGCAGGGCACAGUUUCCAAGUGAUGGAUGGGUUUGUUCUCAAGUGUCCAUUUUGUUUUCUGUGGCAUUAUGUUUUACAUCCUUGGUAGCUAGAGUCAGACAAGCAGGAUCUCAUCUUAAGACACAUGGCGAAUAGUCUGUCGUGGUGGUGGACCACAUUCUGCAGGGUUGCUAUGGACAGUAGUCUGAGUUUAUAUUGCCCAGUUUAUCAUCUUGGGUUCUUCAUAAGUUAUGUCUUGAGUGGUAAAACUAUUCCGAUGGCACCACUCGACCUUGAUCCCUUCCUUCCCUCUCCCAAGUCCUCCAUUAAAUACUAUCCAGCUUCUCAAAAUCAUUUGAUUGAUUUAAUAAAGUGAAGUUUUAUGGAAUUGUAAUGUCAUUCUGUACUUUGAUGUGUCAAUUAGUGCCAGCAUCUCAGCACUUGUCAUGUUGAGAUGGAUUUUCCACUUUCUUUUCUUUUCAUUUUAUUCAAAAAGAAAGUCACGCUUAAGAUCUUAACUGCAGUCUGAGUUGAUUACAUAUAAAAUUGUACUAGUCAGAUUACUCCCAUAUUGGUCUGACAAUAUUAUGCAUUUUCCUAUUUGAACGAUUGAAGUUCUUUAAUAUUUUAUGCAUCAAUAUGAUUGAAUCCGUUUGUUAAUCGCCGUAUUGGUUUUUGCUGUUAAUUCUUUGGUUGGGAGGUAACCUUAUCGGAUUUCCUAAUCUUGAUUAAAUUGCAGGUGGCAGAAUAUAGAAAUUACAAACCAGAAAAUGAGGAAGAGUAUGGCAUGUACUGGAGGAGGACAGAAUACGAUGGCGAAGAUGGUGAACUCUCAUGGUUCAAUGCUGGUGUGAGAGUUGGCGUUGGAAUUGGACUUGGCAUUUGUCUUGGAGUUGGUAUAGGGGUCGGUUUGCUGGUUCGUACAUAUCAAACAACCACUCGGACUUUCAAGAGGCGGCUAUGAUAUCUGUAAUCUGGACGUCUAUACGUCUAACUGCGUCCUUGUUUGACACGCGUCCUGGACUGAAGAUUUUGACAGAGUACUGUUUGUGUAGCUGACAGUUACAUGUUCCUUUUUCUUUGUGUUUUGCUCCCAUAAAACUAUUGUUGCGAGGUUUGUUUAGAAAGCUUGACAGGUAAUCUAGUUGUGUAAUGGAAAGGGAUGACAGUCUUUAAUACUGAACGAGUGUAUACAUGUCUAAAGAUUGUUUUUCGUUGUAAGUAACAUCUCUUUUCAGAUCUAGUGAAGGUAAAGCUAUAUAGAUUAUAUGCUGAUCUAUGCGCUCUUUUCUCCUAGUGCCUAGAGGUUACGUUCACAGAAUCAAUGGCAUUGCACUUUCAUUUCGGUCUGCAAAAGAGGCCGGUUUACUGGAAUUGCCUAUAUGGUUAUAUCUUUUGACCUGAUUUAUUGUAUAAUUCAUCUCUAGAGGAAUUAGGAUAUGAUGAAACAGUUCCAAAAUCGGUAGAAUUUGUUAGCUUAAGGAAAUGAGCGGUAAUAUUAGAAGAAUAGCAAUGUAAGCAAACUACCAUCUUCAAGCAUUUUCAUGAUUAACAUUCAACAGUCCUUACUGAAUACAAGUAGUUACUAGAAUACAAGUAGUCAAGUACUAAUAUAAUUAGACUUUGAUUGCUUUUCUGUGUCUUUAAAUGGCAAUGUAGCCUCUAAACACUAUCCAAGUAGUCUCUCAUCCAGACAUUCAGAUACACCGGCAAGAGAGGUUGUGAAUAAAAUCCAAUAACUCAUCUUAGCCGUCUCUUCAGUUAAAAACCACCUCACUUAUUCUUUAGUACCUAGUUAUCAGCACAUCAUCUCAACUAGCUACUGGCGCAACGCACGCUGGUUCAGGAGCUACCUCAGCUCCAGAAUGGCCAUUGGUAGCAUGAUGUAUCUUGUUAUCACGGCCCCAAAAGGCAGCAGAUUUCACAUCAUCUUGGGUCAUUAAUUUCGAGAACUCCUCAUGGUUAUACUCUAGUAUGGCUUUUCCUCCAAACUCAGUAGGGAGAUUUUCCUCAUCAAAAUAUUGUUUCAUAAGCUCCACACUGUCUUUCUUCUUCGGGUAAACAAACUUAACUUUGUGGAAUGUCUUGGUAUCCAAGAAGUACUUGACAAUCUGCAUCAACAUGGGGAUUAAUGUAGCAAAAUUAUAAAAGAACAGUGAAGGACAAUGAAACUAAUUGGGAAAACAGAUAUCUCAAAAAGGAAACAGAGGCAAGAAAUAGGAAGCAACUCUAAAAUUUUAAGCUAGUCAACUAGGAUUGGCCGCAAGAAAUCAGCUAAGUUACUUAUAGGAAGUAGAAAUCAGGAAACACAUAUGAAGUCUGUAUUCAUUGAGGUAAACAUCAAGACUGUAUCUGUAUUACUGUUAGCAACACUGCAUUUAUUAGCACUGUUUAUUUUAGUUUUGGAGCAUGUAAGAAACUGUCCAGGGUUAGCAGGCUCUAUACAACUAUGAACUAUCAAUUCUUGUUGCAAAUAUGUUCAAUGGAGCUGUAAAAAGUAACCAAGUUAACUAAGCUCAAACCUUCCAAAAUGCUUCAAAAAUUCGCGGAGGGUUGUAGAGAAAUGCCACGGCUAGCCUUUCAGGAUAGUGGUUCUGUAAAAUAUUGAUGGUAUCCCGUGCUGAUUUGACAGGCACAGAAGUAUUCAGGGUCCACCCGGUAAAGUCUAUCAACCAGGCCAUUUGUUCUUGACCCUCUGGAAGGUUAAAGACAGCAUUCUCUAUAAGAUACACCAAGUGCUUGAUGUUAUUGUCUAAUGACGUUGUGUUCUGCAGCAUUUGUAAAAGCAUUAGUCUUCCACUUAAGAAAUGAAAGCCGAAAGUAAUAUGAAUUUGAUAACAAUGCACUCUACCUGCAUUGCUGGUCUCAAUAUCAAAACACUCCUCCCAUGACGGUCAUGAAAACUUGCUCUAUAAACUUUUCCAGUCUCGCCUUCAACUGCAACUUCAGGCUGACCAUAUAAAGUAGUUCAGUAAAACUCGAAACAAAAACACAGAGAACUACCUAAGAUAUGGAAUCAUGAAUACCUACCCAACUGAUUUCCUCAGGCUUAUAACUUGACCUCCACUUGAGAGUUUCCUCCAACAUUUUCUUCGACUUGUCUACAUUCCCAUUCCUUGCAUCCAAGUACCUCCUGAAGCACGCAUCAGUACAGAACUGCAUACUUCGGCCCGAUAGUGGCCCAAUCGCAGCCUUUAGCUCGUUGAUCUGCAUUUUCAUUUUCAUAUAUAUAGAUGAUUUUUAUAAAUUGUGGUCUAAAACGGAUACAAGCACAUGGUAUCACUAUCUAACAAGCAUCUAUUUCCUUUACGCCAUUAACUAUCAAGUAUCAACUAACAAACUUGCGAUUAAUUACCUUCACUUCAGGCUGCAGUGAAUCAUUCUCGUGAUGAUGAGACUUUCCCCAAAUGCCAAACAUGGUAUCACGAAUCGUUCGGUAACAACAACUGAUUAGCUCAACUUCAGCUGCGAAAUUAAACAGCACACAACAACAUAUCAGCUGCUUACACAAGAACCUCAAACACAGUAACAAAUCAACUCAAGUCCCCAAAAUAGAUAAACAGAAUAAGCAGUAAUAUAAUACCUGUUAAGAUCGGUUUCCACCAAUCAAAAACUAAACCAUAAAGCAGAGCAGGAGAAACAACAAUAGAUAAAUGAAAGAUUAAUCACGCAAAUCGCGUUGCCUGCUUAAACUCACAAACGUGAUUCAACUAACCCCAAAUGCCAAGAAAGAAAUGACCUUUGAUUCUUAGAACGACAACAAAAAAUAAAUGAACAAAAGCUUGACUCUUGACUCCUUAGCAUCAGAUAUUUCCACACAGUGUGGUCAUGGGUCCCCGGGGAAACAGGAAGCCUCUGUUUGUCUCUGACCCUCUAAUAAAUGCAUCCUUCCUAGUCAAAUAAGUGAGUGCUCCAUAUUUCCUAGCUCAAUUUUCUUGACUUUUCUUAAAGUGAUCUAGAAGAAAAAUGAAGUACCUGAGACUGUAGACUAAAGCUGAAGCUUGAAAGCUGCAACAAUGGCGAAGAUGGAGAGUGAUUUGUUGUUCACGAAAAUGGCAUGAGUCACAAAACACGAGAGAGAGAAGAAGGUGAAAGAGAGUGUUUGGAUUUGUUGGUGUCUGUUUGUUUUUGCUGCUCCAGAUAUUUUGGGGUUUGCUCGCUGUUUUACUGGGGGCAACGCUAUUGCCACCGCCUGGUCUUGUUCUAAGCAGCGACAGGCGGCCACAGUGGCCUCCACGUGUUAUGUGAAUAGCGUCACCGCGAGGCAACAGGGCCAAGUGGAAACCGCGGGGUAAAAGUACACACGCUUGUCCCAUGGAGCUUACCUUGCACGUGUGUGUUGUGUGUGUCAGGGUCUGUCAGAGAGAAUCAGCAAGUAAAUCGAUCUUGGUUUUGCGCCAUGGAUUGAACAAUUGUAAAUAAAUCCUAUAACGCCUUGGUUUUUUCUUUUUAAACGAUGGGUAAAUUACAUUCCGUUAAUUUUUUAAAUAAUUUUGAGGUUGUGAGCAUGACUCACGAAUAUAUCAGUUAUAGGCUAUAACAUAGAAUUGUUUACAUAAUCAAACUUUUACGUCCACAAUGACGUUCUUUUGAAAAAAUAAUUUGAUACCACGUAUGAAGCAACCACGAUAGCCUAUCAAUUUUGCCUUUCUAGAAUGUGUUAAUGGAGACGAGAGUGACAAUUUGAUUGUAAAGGAAAAGUAGAAAUGGUGGAGGGUCUUUUAAGUAGCAAGUGCCAAGUCAAUUUUCUGCCAACUUUAGACUAAAGAAACUCCUUUCGGCAAAAAAACAAAACGAAAGACUUCAAUAACACCACCAAUCAAAAGUUGGUACAACAAUAAUCAAAAUGUGCAUUUCAGUCGACACAUUCAAGAAUGAGAAAGAAACCUUUGAUUCAUAUAUUAUAUGGAUGACAUUUGGUUUCUCCUCCCACACAUAUUCUACCGACUUGGAAAUGAUAGAGGUGGCAACAGGGAAGAAGGAACAUGUCCACACCACGAGAAUAGGAUUCCAUUCUCAACAGAAAACAACAGCCUUGCUGCAAGUAGAAAUGGAUAAAAGAGGUAGCAAAGAAUAUUCUUUACAUAAUCUACACAUACGGCUGCCUUGUCCCUGAUACAAUCUAAUCUUCAUUUUGCUCUCGCAGGCAGAAAAUUGAUGAAGGCCCUGGAUGAUCUGAACACAAAGGUAUCACGUGACUGGCAAGCGGGGAGAUCGGCUCAAAUCGGUAGCUUGUUACCCCAAAACGGAGACUAAGAGUGUAGCAGAGCAAAGCGAAUGAGUCAGGCAGCUAACAGCAAAUGAAACCAUCCAAAUUAACAAAAAUUCAACUCAAAUUGCAAAAAAAUCUUCAGAGAAUUGGCAAUUCAAAUCAUUCUUGGAGCAAUUCAGUAAUGCUCAAUGCAAUGCUGAGGAUCUAGGUACUCGAAUCACCACAAUCCCAACCUCUAACUUCAGGCACUCUAAUCAAGGAGCUUCUGGAUUCAAGGAUUGAAGAACACCUUCAAGAUCCACCCAGAAAACAAUUGCUAGUAAGAAGCCCAACAAUUUGAACACAAACAUAUAACAGCAGAUGCAUAGCAACCCAGGAAUGUAGAUGACGGUCAGAAUCACCUUGUAUGUAAUAACAUUGACUAAGAAUGUUGAUACAAAAAAUCACUUCAAAAUUCUUAUAGCAGACAUAGUGCUGACAGUGAUAAUCUCUUCUGGAAACUUAUUACGCACAAGUCAUUCAAACUCAAUAGUACCACUUGGCAAUUAUCAUUCAGAUAUUGCAGGCACCUUUUAGGGAGAAUGAGAAAACCUUCGGAUAGAUGAAGCGACAAGCCACACGAGUAUUUGAGUACACAUGAGCACAGCCACAACUUAGUAUUCCAGAACUUGCCUUUACAUAGAUCUCAAAAACACAAUACCAAUUUCCUUCAGAGACCACAACGCAGAAUGAGAUAACGUUGAAGAUAUAUAAAAAGAUAUUCUGCUUAAGACCAAAUAGGAGAUAGUAGAGCAUACUUCCACAACAUAUCUCAAUCAGAAUAUCUCAAAAGAGCAGUUUCAGGACUGAAAACAAGAUGCGGCAAAGCUUAGUCGUGAACAGUUCACGUUUCUAUUCCUUGAAAAUGCCUGCAUCAGGACCCACUUAAUGAGAGGCUUCACAUAUCAUCAAAAGGUAAUGAAAAGAAAUUCUGCUACUGACUAACCUUUCAUGUAAAGAGCAUUAAGUAUGAGAAAAAAAAAAAAUCUUCCAUUCAUUUAUUGCUUCAAUAUUCCACCAACCAUUUAUACUGUGCUUACAUAUAUUGGAGCUUCAAAUUUGCUGGAGUACAGCUUCAGUCCUUCAGAUAUAUACACAUUUAACAAACUACAACCCUACCUUCCCAAAUAACAUGGAACACAUCACUACUCUCUACACAUAAACACCUAACUCCUGCACAUCCUUGAGUUGAAAACCAAAACUCUUAGCUACAGUACCAAUAAUAGAAAUGCAAAUUAGCUGACAAAACAUACUGAUAAAUAACUAUCAUUGAUGAAAAAAUUGGAAAUUAUAAUCAAAUGGAUCUCAAUUAUGAUUUCUGUGUUGAUUAUGAACAAGUGAUAAAAACCGAUAGAACGAGGCAAUGGAGUGAAUAAUAGCAAGCUCACUGUACAACUUCAAAUUAGAUAUCCGGUAGCAAGCAAGUUUCAUGCUGAUAAUCAAAUUUUUACUUCCUCAUAUCAUUACCUAUUCACCAACAGACAACUUUAAAGUGAUCAGAUGCAUUUCUUCUGUGCAAGAUAAGGCGAUAUCGGAAGGUUAGUCACCAAUGCUGCAUUUGCAGUGAUGAAACCGUCUUCUAUAACUUCACAAAUGGUUUAGAAUCAAUAUCUUAUAUCUUAAAUGUCGAGCAUUAGAAGAACCCUCACCAAUUUUCAAUGGAGUAACAAAUAAAAUUUAGUACCUCCGGCAUUGAAAUCGAGAUGGCCAAUCAAAUUCUGCAGUUAGUAAUAGCCAAACUGGUAUCCUGUUCCGCUUCUCAUAUAAAAUCGCAACCAUAGACUGAAAUGUGCUGUGUGUGUGCCUGAGAGAGAGAGAGAGAGAGAGAGCACGCAGAGAAGAGGAGGGAGAGCCGGACCAUAAUAAAAACAAGAUCUCCGUGCCAUCUCCCUCCCCUAAAACCCGAAAAGACUAAUUUUAUUAGGGCUUUUUGACCUGCCAGGCAAGCGCACCUGCCCUGGCAAAGGUCGGUCUCCUACACAUUUAUACCUUUAGAUCCAUUAUCCUAGCUCCAUCAUCUUCAAGAUUUACAUGAUCCAAACACAGAUUUUGCAACAACCAUACAAUUUUACAAAACCAGCCGCCGUCACAUCAAUCAACCUCCACGGUUGCUCCGCCGCGCCGAUCCGAUUAAACGAACGCAGACGAUUACUAAUAGUCUGAAAUCAAAAGCGAUGCGAAAAAAAACUAAGUACGAAAUCAAGAAGCAUAAGAAUCGAUUCGAAUACAAGAAAAGCUAUGAUGUUUCAAUUACCUUGUGGAUUUCAUGAUCGCGAAGAUUCUUGAUUCUUUCUGGCCUGAAACAGCGAGAAUACGACGAUUGGAUCCGAAGAGAACCGGUACCGAAGCUCCGAGCCGGCGACGAAGGGAAUGAGAGUCGGGUCGGGUCGGAUUCGAAGGCAAGAAGAAGAGAGCUCCGAACAAGAAGGCGAUGAAAACGAUCAGAUGAGGCUGAAAAUGAAACGGUUUGAAUGGAAUAAGGGUGGGGCUGGUGUAUUUAUAAUACCACGAUAUUUCGUGGGCUGGGCUUCAGAAGAAGCAUCUAGAAAGGGCCACUGUAAUGUUAUUUUAGGUCCGUAUGCCGUAUCCGAUAUACUUAGAUACGGCUGGAUACGCCGUGUCGUAAUUAAUUCGGUACGUGGUGGUAAACCUGACAUUCUUCAAAUUAAUUACGACACGACACGACGUAUCCGAGCCCAUGUCUUCCUCUUCGUAUGAUAGAAGGCUUUAUUUUUUUAUUUUUUUUGUUGAGGAUAUGAUAUGAUACAAAGCUUGAAAGAGAAGCCCUUUGAAAACUAUGGCAUUGCUUAGAUUGGAAUGUAAGUCAGGCACACGUUCAUAAACACAGAGAGAAUGAGAGCUAAGCUAAACGUUCACGUCAAUCUUUCUAUGAUAUGAUCAAAGAAUCUUCCACCACUAUUUACUUUGUUUUGGAAUGGACUUCCCACCUCAACCAACUUUGAGAGAAUCACCUCAACCACAAUUUAAGACUUAACAGAGCAUUACCUCCCAUCUCUAUCUCUCCCCCCCUAUAUGCAGAAGAAUUCACUACCCUAAAUACACAAUGUAACAAAUUUGUUGCUCGAGGAUUGUUGAGACAAUAGUACUGAAACAGAGUUGCAGCUGCAAGCAUGGCAAAGAGAUCAGAUUUUGCGCAAAAGCU